rnacentral:rRNA from 1 species
AGAGUUUGAUCCUGGCUCAGAGCGAACGCUGGCGGCGUGCUUAACACAUGCAAGUCGAACGCGCAGCAUUCUGUAGCAAUACAGGGUGUGGGCGCGUGGCGAACGGGUGCGUAACACGUGGAUAACCUUCCUUCAGGUGGGGAAUAACCCAGUGAAAAUUGGGCUAAUACCGCAUAACAUGACGAUGCCACAUGGUGUUGUCUUCAAAGCCGCAAGGCGCCAGAAGAGGGAUCCGCGGCCGAUUAGCUUGUUGGCGAGGUAAUGGCUCACCAAGGCUUUGAUCGGUAGCCGGACUGAGAGGUUGGCCGGCCACACUGGAACUGAGACACGGUCCAGACUCCUACGGGAGGCAGCAGUGGGGAAUCUUGCACAAUGGACGAAAGUCUGAUGCAGCAACGCCGCGUGGGGGAUGAAGCUUUUCGGAGUG